rnacentral:rRNA from 1 species
UAGUGACGGAGGGUUUGAUUCUGGCUCAGAUUGAACGCUGGCGGGAUGUGCUUUACACAUGCAAGUCGAACGGCAGCACGGACUUCGGUCUGGUGGCGAGUGGCGAACGGGUGAGUAAUGUAUCGGAACGUGCCUAGUAGCGAGGAUAACUACAUGGCCGUAGCUAAUACCGCAUACGCCCUUCGAGGAAAAGCAGAGGCCUUCGGCCUCGCACUAUUAGGAAGCGGCCGAUAUCGGAUUAGCUAGUUGGUGGAGUAACGGCUCACCAAGGCGACGAUCGUAGCUGGUUUGAGAGGACGACCAGCCACACUGGGACUGGGGCCACGGCCCAGACUCCUACGGGAGGCAGCAGUGGGGGAAUUUUGGACAAUGGGGAAACCCUGAUCCAGCCAUCCCGCGUGUGCGAUGAAGGCCUUCGGGUUGUAAAACACUUUUGGCAGGAAAGAAACGGCACGGGAUAAUACCCCGUGCAACUGACGGUACCGCAGAAUAAGCACCGGCUAACUACGUGCCAGCAGCCGCGGUAAUACGUAGGGUGCAAGCGUUAAUCGGAAUUACUGGGCGUAAAGCGUGCGCAGGCGGUUCGGAAAGAAAGAUGUGAAAUCCCAGAGCUUAACUUUGGAACUGCAUUUUUAACUACCGAGCUAGAGUGUGUCAGAGAGUGGAAUUCCGCGUGUGGCAGUGAAAUGCGUAGAUAUGCGGAGGAACACCGAUGGCGAAAAUCGCAACCUCCUGGGAUAACACUGACGCUCAUGCACGAAAGCGUGGGGAGCAAACAGGAUUAGAUACCCUGGUAGUCCCGCCUAAACGAUCAACUAGCUGUUGGGGCCUUCGGGCCUUGGUAGCGCAACUAACGCGUGAAGUUGACCGCCUGGGGAGAAUUACGGUCACCAAGAUUAAAACUCAAAAGGAAUUGACGGGGACCCGCACAAGCGGUGGAUGAUGUGGAUUAAUUCGAUGCAACGCGAAAAACCUUACCUACCCUUGACAUGUCUGGAAUCCCGAAAGGGUUGGGAGUGCUCGCAAAGAGAACCGGAACACAGGUGCUGCAUGGCUGUCGUCAGCUCGUGUCGUGAGAUGUUGGGUUAAGUCCGCAACGAGCGCAACCCUUGUCAUUAGUUGCUACGAAAGGGCACUCUAAUGAGACUGCCGGUGACAAACCGGAGGAAGGUGGGGAUGACGUCCAGUCCUCAUGGCCCUUAUGGGUAGGGCUUCACACGUCAUACAAUGGUCGGGACAGAGGGUCGCCAACCCGCAGGGAGCCAAUCCCAGAAACCCGAUCGUAGUCCGGAUCGCAGUCUGCAACUCGACUGCGUGAAGUCAGAAUCGCGAAAGUAAUCGCGGAUCAGCAUGUCGCGGUGAAUACGUUCCCGGGUCUUGUACACACCGCCCGUCACACCAUGGGAGUGGGUUUUACCAGAAGUAGUUAGCCUAACCGUAAGGAGGGCGAUUACCACGGUAGGAUUCAUGACUGGGGUGAAGUCGUAACAAAAGGUAG